AGCAGCCGCGGUAAUUCCAGCUCCAAUAGCGUAUAUUAAAGUUGUUGCAGUUAAAAAGCUCGUAGUUGAAUUUCGGGAUCAAUAUGCUGGUCGUGCCAUUGGUACGUACUAGUAUUAUUGGUUUCUCCUUUCUGAUGAAUCAUGAUGUCAUUAAUUUGAUGUCAUGAGGAAUCAGGACUGUUACUUUGAAAAAAUUAGAGUGUUUAAAGCAGGCUCGCGCUUGAAUACAUUAGCAUGGAAUAAUGAAAUAGGAUGUUUGAUUCUAUUUUGUUGGUUUCUAGGAUUGACGUAAUGAUUAAUAGGGAUAGUUGGGGGCAUUAGUAUUCAAUUGUCAGAGGUGAAAUUCUUGGAUUUAUUGAAGACUAACUACUGCGAAAGCAUUUGCCAAGGAUGUUUUCAUUAAUCAAGAACGAAAGUUAGGGGAUCGAAGACGAUCAGAUACCGUCGUAGUCUUAACCAUAAACUAUGCCGACUAGGGAUCGGAUGAUGUUAAUUUUUUCAAUGACUCAUUCGGCGCCUU
rnacentral:misc_RNA from 1 species